rnacentral:rRNA from 1 species
GUUGACGCUGGCGGCAGGCCUAACACAUGCAAGUCGAACGAGUGGCGGACGGGUGAGUAACGUAUGGGAAACUUCCCGAUGGAGGGGGAUAACUACUGGGAACGGAAGACAAAUCCGCAAACCAUCGGAUGUGCCAAGAUGGGACUAGCUAGUAGGUGGGGUAACGGCUUACCUAGGCGACGAUCCCUAGCUGGUCUGAGAGGAUGAACAGCCACACUGGAACUGAGACACGGUCCAGACUCCUACGGGAGGCAGCAGUGGGGAAUAUUGCACAAUGGGCGCAAGCCUGAUGCAGCCAUGCCGCGUGUGUGAAGAAGGUCUUCGGAUUGUAAAGUACUUUCAGCAGGGAGGCGUUACCCGCAGAAAAAGCACCGGCUAACUCCGUGCCAGCAGCCGCGGUAAUUC